GAUGAACGCUGGCGGCGUGCCUAAUACAUGCAAGUCGAGCGAACGGACGAGAAGCUUGCUUCUCUGAUGUUAGCGGCGGACGUGUGAGUAACACGUGGAUAACCUACCUAUAAGACUGGGAUAACUUCGGGAAACCGUAGCUAAUACCGGAUAAUAUUUUGAACCGCAUGGUUCAAAAGUGAAAGACGGUCUUGCUGUCACUUAUAGAUGGAUCCGCGCUGCAUUAGCUAGUUGGUAAGGUAACGGCUUACCAAGGCAACGAUGCAUAGCCGACCUGAGAGGGUGAUCGGCCACACUGGAACUGAGACACGGUCCAGACUCCUACGGGAGGCAGCAGUAGGGAAUCUGCCGCAAUGGGCGAAAGCCUGACGGAGCAACGCGGCGUGAGUGAUGAAGGUCUUCGGAUCGUAAAACUCUGUUAUUAGGGAAGAACAUAUGUGUAAGUAACUGUGCACAGCUUGACGGUACCUAAUCAGAAAGCCACGGCUAACUACGUG
rnacentral:rRNA from 1 species